rnacentral:rRNA from 1 species
GACGAACGCUGGCGGCGUGCUUAACACAUGCAAGUCGAACGAAGUGGCGAACGGGUGAGUAAUACGUGGGUAACCUGCCCUCCUUUUUGGGAUAAGCCUUGGAAACGGGGUCUAAUACCGGAUAGUGUGGGAUGGGCCCGCGGCCUAUCAGCUUGUUGGUGGGGUAAUGGCCUACCAAGGCGGCGACGGGUAGCCGGCCUGAGAGGGUGGACGGCCACAUUGGGAAUGAGACACGGCCCAGACUCCUACGGGAGGAAGGAGGGGGGAGUAUUGCACAAAGGGCGCAAGCCUGAACCAGCAACGCCGCGUGAAGGAAGACGGUCUUCGGAUUGUAAACUUCUUUAGACAGGGACGCGGUACCUGUAGAAUAAGCCACGGCUAACUACGUGCCAGCCGCCGCGGUAAUUC